CAAACGCUUUGCCUCACAACCAACGGCUACAGGGCAGCCAAGUAGGUGAAUUUACAGGACAAGUCUGGAACUUUGGUAGAAGAAAGGGUGGUGAAAAUGGACAAAUAUAGCCAAGGCUUUGUGGUUGAGUUUCUAUUUCCUUUGAUAAUUUUGAGAAGCUGCCAAGGCUUUUGGUGUGGGCAUGGGAGGAAACCUUGCCGCUUUUACUUCAAAGUAGUUGUUUUCAUGGUUAUUUAUAGCUCCUGACAGCGAUGAUAUCUCCACAGCUAUACAGUUCAUCAAUAAGGCAAGGCCAUGGAUUACAUUGAUGGUCAUUGGCUGGGAAUAUGGUGCAAACAUGUUGACGAAGUACUUGG